GCCGGGGUAGCUCAGCUGGGAGAGCAACAGACUGAAGUGCGAUGUUUUCUGGAGGUCCCGUGUUCAAUCCACGGUCCUGGCA